rnacentral:lncRNA from 1 species
GGGGAGGGGGAGCCUGAUUUCAUGGUUUUAAAACGAUGCCAUGAUCUGAUCAGCCUCUGUUUACACAGCAGCAAUCAGGCUCUUUUGUGGACGAUAUUUUGAUGGCAUGACAAAUCAGAAAGAAGAGGAUGUACUGUAUGACUAGACACCAGAUCAGUUCUGUUUGUGGAUUACAUUUUCAGUAAGAUGAAAAUGAAGCCAGUCCAGUUUGUUGCAGCAGUGAGCCAGAACUGGACUUUCCAUGGUCCUGGAGCGAGCGGUCAAGCGGCUGCUAAUUGGCUGGCUGGAUUUGGAAGGGGUCCCACACCGCCAACCUUGUUGGGAAUCAGGCAAAACGCGAACACCACAGGCAGGAGAAGGCUACUGGUUUUAGACGAGUUCAAAAUGGAGAAGAGAAUCAGCAGAAUGUUCUACAUCAUGACAUUCCUCUUUCUGACCUUGUGGGGUCCCUAUUUGGUAGCCUGUUACUGGAGAGUUUUUGCAAGAGGGCCUGUAGUACCAGGGGGAUUUCUAACGGCCGCUGUCUGGAUGAGUUUUGCCCAAGCUGGAAUCAAUCCUUUUGUCUGCAUUUUCUCCAACAGGGAGCUGAGGCGCUGUUUCAGCACAACCCUUCUUUACUGCAGAAAAUCCAGGUUACCAAGGGAACCUUACUGUGUUAUAUGA